GGGACUGAGGACCAGGCGGCUGCAGGAUGUCGGCUACAGCUCUGCACUGGGGGGAAAGGGCUCUCCUCUACUGGGGGCACUGGUGGGGGCAGGGGGAGCUCCUCAUCCCUGUGGGAAUACCGGGUUCCUGGCUGUGGAUAUAACUGGAUUUAUCUUAACACGUUUCUCAGGGAGAUGGAUUACUGCACUAAUGGGAGACGGGACCCUGGAGGACACCGGCAGCCAUGUUUCUGCAUCUCCCCCCACCGGCACAUCAUGUAUUGGGAGGUCAUUAAGGCGCGUCGGACGGAGCCGCUCUGACACAUGGUAGACGUUUGACAUCCAACACGGCACCAGUCUGGUAACAUCAACCCUUCUGUGGUCUACGAGAAGACUGAAGAUUGUUGUACGUGAAACCCAAUGUGCACAAGUACCGUAUAUGGAACAUUUCACGCUGGAAAAUUUGAGAGUGAUGCAAGUAAUAUGGAGUAUUGGAAAUCGCUACUGCACGAUUAAGUAUGAAAUCUGUUCUUGACAUUUACAAUGGAUGAUGGUCUGGAGGUCUACCACUACAGGAUGGCUUUACACAAGCAAAAGAAAAUACUAUAUGGUUUUUAUUCAUUACCGGCCCACAAAGACUCAUUAUCCAGAAUAAAUUAAACUUUUAAGGUCCUCACUAUCCAAGAAGACCCAAAGAAAUUGAAAGAGCUCUUGCUGAAAUUACUACAAGAUCUACAUGUCCUCCUAUAUUCUGUAUCAUAAAUUCAAGCUUCAGUGCUUAAUUCCUCAAUUAUGAACUGUUAUCUGUACAUCAAUUGCUCUGAUUUAAAGAUCUGAUUAAAUACUAAACAAAU